CUUCUUUUAGCGUAGGGGUAACGUACCCUAUCUAGUAAACAGGGAGUCGUGAGUUCGAUUCUCACCGAAAAGA
rnacentral:tRNA from 1 species